rnacentral:tRNA from 1 species
AGCGACCAGGAGAAACGGCUAACUCGCCGGGCUCAUAUCCCGGAGAAACUGGGUUCGAUUCCCAGGGUCGCUA